rnacentral:tRNA from 1 species
GGGUUGCUAACUCAAUGGUAGAGUAUUCGGCUUUUAACCGACAAGCUCCGGGUUCGAGUCCCGGGCAACCCACCC